UUUUUUUGUUCUGUGUGAAUGGCAGAUAACUCCCACAUGCUCUUCAUCCUGUCGUGUGCUGCCAUUCUUGUAGCCACCUUCUCCUUCAUCAUGGUCAUCGCCUGCCACCCUUGUCUUUACAACAGAUCACAGAUUGCUACUUCCACCAACGCUGUAUUCCUGAAGAACCAGGACUAUGAAGGUCAAAGCCCCGAUUCUUUUUAACGUGAGGAGGGGAGAGAAGGAGCAACUCCUCCUGCAUUAUGGAAAUCAAUACUUGAGUUAAUUCUCACACCGCUCCUCCGCCUGCUCUCCGUCUGUGCUCCAACAUGCUGUGCACACAUGUACGUGUAGGGUUUGUUACAGACGGAAAAUGCCCAAUUAUGGCGUUACAGGACAAUUCUCAUCUGGUGUAUCCCCAUGUUAUAGAUUUUAAUGAAUCAAGUUGCGUAGGCAGUGCCUGUAUGUACUCAGGACAAUGGUCUAAACUGUGUUAAUAACUGCUAAACUCACCAAUGUUCAGUAAGCUGUUAGGUCACUUUCCAUAAAGCAGCAAUCAAUUAACGAGCCACAGAGCUUAGGUUGACAUUA